CAAGAUGGGGGAUAACAGUUUGGAAACGAUUGCUAAUACCGAAUGUGAUCUACGGAUUAAAGAGCCUUUAAAGCUUCGCUUGAAGAUGGGCCUGCGGUGCCAUUAGCUAGUUGGUGAGGUAACGGCCCACCAAGGCGACGAUGCAUAGCCGAACUGAGAGGUUAAUCGGCCACAUUGGGACUGAGACACGGGCCCAAACUCCUACGGGAGACAGCAGUUUAGGAAUAUUCGUCAAUGGGGGAAACCCCUGAACGAGCAAUGCCGCGUGAGUGAUGACGGUCCUCUGGAUUGUAAAACUCUGUUGUUUGGAAAGAACUGUAAGAAGAGGAAAUGCUUCUUACUUGACGGUACCAUUCAAGAAAGCCACGGCUAACUACGUG
rnacentral:rRNA from 1 species